GACGACGCUGGCGGCGUGCCUAAUACAUGCAAGUCGAGCGGGGAUUAUGCUUGAUCGCUUCGGUGAGACGGCAUAUAUCCUAGCGGCGGACGGGUGAGUAACGCGUGGGUAAUCUACCUCGUAGUUCGGGAUAACAGGCCGAAAGGCUUGCUAAUACCGGAUGAGUUCAUGCUUAUGCAUAUAGGCAUGAAGAAAGGGCUAGCCCGCUAUGAGAUGAGCCCGCGUCCCAUUAGCUUGUUGGUGGGGUAAUGGCCUACCAAGGCAACGAUGGGUAGCCGACCUGAGAGGGUGUACGGCCACACUGGGACUGAGACACGGCCCAGACUCCUACGGGGGGCAGCAGUAGGGAAUUUUCGGCAAUGGGCGAAAGCCUGACCGAGCGACGCCGCGUGAGGGACGAAGGCCUUCGGGUUGUAAACCUCUGUCUGGGGGGAUGAGAACGGACGGUACCCCCGGAGGAAGCCCCGGCUAACUACGUG
rnacentral:rRNA from 1 species